rnacentral:rRNA from 1 species
AACGAACGCUGGCGGGAGGUCUAAUACAUGCAAGUCGAGCGGUAUAGAGACUUCGGUUUCUAGAGAGCGGCGCACGGGUGAGUAACGCGUACAUGACCUACCUUCAAGCCUGGAAUAGCCCUGGGAAACUGGGAUUAAUACCGGAUGUGAUAAUAAGUUUGGAUAUUUAUUAUUAAAGUUACGGCGCUUGGAGAUGGGUGUGCGUCUGAUUAGCUAGUUGGUGAGGUAACGGCUCACCAAGGCGACGAUCAGUAGGGGGCGUGAGAGCGUGACCCCCCACACGGGUACUGAGACACGGACCCGACUCCUACGGGAGGCAGCAGUAAGGAAUAUUGGUCAAUGGGCGAAAGCCUGAACCAGCCAUCCCGCGUGCAGGAUGAAGGUCCUAUGGAUUGUAAACUGCUUUUAUCAGGGAAGAAACGCCUUCAUUCAUGGGGGUCUGACGGUACCUGAGGAAUAAGCACCGGCUAACUCCGUGCCAGCCGCCGCAGUAAAAC